GUGAAAAAAAAAAAAAAAAAAAAAAAAAAAAAAAAAAA
rnacentral:ribozyme from 13 species